GCCAGAGGCACUGAGGUGCAGCAGGUUUCUUUAGUCAUCAACUAUGACCUUCCCACCAAUAGGGAAAAGUAUAUCCACAGAAUCAGUCGAGUUGGACAGUUUGGCCUUAAGGGUGUGGCUAUUAACAUGGUGACAGAAGAAAACAAGAGAACACUUCAAGACAUUGAGACUUUCUACAACACCUCCACUGGGAAGAUGCCCCUCAAUGCUGCUGACCUCAUC
rnacentral:lncRNA from 1 species